CUUUUUCUCUGUUAAUGGAAAAUUUUCAGCUGGCUAUGCUAUCACAGUCCAAUUCAAACAAAUUAAACAAGGCAACUUACUUCAAUUUAAUUCAGAACCAAAAUCAGAACUAUAUGCUCUCAGUAGAGCUUGAAUAUUGUCAUCUCAAAAAACAGUUAACAUAUAUAAUGACA
rnacentral:miRNA from 1 species